UGAAAUCCCUUUUUUGUUGAUGUUUAGACAUGGAAAUGUAAAGUAUUCAUGGCAAUUAUAGGCAUGAGAAAUUGAUGAAAUUACAGUCUGUUCCUUGAAAGAGGCAGAGCGGGUGCGGAACAAAAGGCAAUUGGCUGUGUCAGCAGUGUGGUGGUGGCUUUCUAACAGGUGAAGAGCCCCGUGUGUGGGAUGACUGGGAUCGGCACGUGAAUGUGGCGGGACAGCAGACCCCCUGCUGGGCCGGUACAAAGAGGGGGCACACACCAGAACCGCCAGGACAUUGACUGAGAUGAGCACCCACUCUUUCUCUGAGGGAAAUCUUUGGGCCUCUUCGACUGUUACAGAUAUGGCACAUUUCACCAACCGAAGACCUUCAAAUGUGAGAUGGAUGCGCAAUAGCAUGGAGGUUAUUCAUCACAUUUGACCAGCACGAACCUGUCCUAGCAUGGUGUCAUGACAACAAUGAUAUUCAAUGGGGUUACCACAUCAAAAGUUAUUACACCUUUGAUUCAGAAAACAAGGAUACCAGCACAAGAGCAGCUUGGGAUUGGAGGUUUCUCCAUAUGUGGGAGGGGACGGGGGGCCAAUAUCACCCACCUCUUCAGGAAGUGUCCUGUGAAAGCCUAGAAUGGUGGGGAAGGAGCUCUCCGUGGCCCCGUGGAGUCCUCACAGCCAGCAGGCACUGCGGCUGGCAGCAUUAUGCCAUUGGAGGAGGAGAUCCAGGGCUGCCAGUCCCCUGCCGCUGUUUCCCCAUGCCUUUCAACCCCGCUCCCUGCCACACAGAGAAGGAGAUUAGGAUUAAUCUUCCGUCUGACAUGCUGAUAUUAACACCAUUUUUUCUGCCUUCCCUCUCAUUUGCUGUACAUUUUGGGCUUGUUAGAAAGGAAAAGGAGGGGCAGAGAACAAAAUCUAAGUCUGGGCCAUGGAUUACUCCUAGAGAGGAGGGGGGCAGGUUCAAAGGGGGUUUUCUUGUGAUGGGGACAGAAGGACAAUCAUUUUGGCAGAGAACAGUAUGGUGUCAGGAUCACUCUCUGUUGAUGUGAUUUGGGAUAUGUGGGUUCAAAUUGCCACACAGGGAAAAGAGAAGGGCUUUAGAUAAACCCAGCCAUUCGAUAGGCCUGUCUGUCUGAAAUGUAUGACUGAAAUAAUUAUUUGAUAAAGGUGUAGAAUAUUGAGGUAAAAUAUUUGCUCAGAUCCACAUAAAUUAUAUCCAAAUAUCAGUCAAAAUAUUUUCUAAAUGCAAUAACUAAUUUAGAAUUGCAUAGUAAUGGAGUAAAGCAGGUUUAGGGAACACAAUAUAUUCUGUGAAGUUGUGGACUCAAUUCCGGUUGCAAUUCCCUUUUUAUUUUUACACAUGUGGAUUUAAGGACUGACCCUAUUUCCUUAUAACACUUAUUCCGUUUGAAUAAUAACAAAAACACUUAACUCUAUUAACCUAAAAUAGCAGCAAUUGUGAAAAAUAACCACAUUUAACAAAUAAAAAAAGUGAAGUAGAGUUUUUGUAAAGUAAACCAUUGUUUAAAAUGUUUUUUAAAACUAUAAGGUGUGAGAAACAGCAACAAACAAUUGUUUGUGAAAUGAUAUCACGUGAGAGUUCACACAUCUUCAGGCGUAUUACACUGUUGUAAAGCAUUCUCUCCUUUGUCUUAACCUGACAUUAUUGCUCCUUUAGUGGGAAAAGUUACAUGUCAUUGUCUGGAAUUUUACCUCUCCCUCACCUCCUUUUUGAUUAUCCCUGUGAGAAACCCUGUUCCUGUAUAGUAUACACUUUCAAUUACACUUUACACGUAGGGGUCUAGGCCAGGGAACCAUCAGAAAAAGACACACACAGACGUUGAAAAGGCAAAGGGCCUUUGCUGUUAUGCAAAUAUAUCAAACGGUAAACGGUUGAGUGAGAAUUAUAUUUGAAUUAAAUGAGGCUUUGGCUUUCUAUAACACUGAAUUGCAAGGCAAAGUCUCAAUACAGAAUCCCCACGCCGCGGCCAUGCAUAUUAUGCACUUGACGAAAUGUGAACUGACAUAAAUACCAUGGCUCACUUUCAAUCCGAUUACUCGGCUAAACCACAUCAAUACCAUCCAUCCAACAGGCGCUAGCGUCCCCCAUUCAAGUGGCCAGAGAACAACCCCAGCUCCUCCUUGGUACACAAGCACCCUCGCUGCCACUGCAGAGCCCCCACGCUCAACCCAUCAGCCAAACUCAAUGGAACCCUUUCGACAAGGUGCUUUCCUCAGCUCUCCAAGCUCAGGCCUAAAACAAAGCUAAAGAUUGUGUCGAUGUGCCCAAACUCCCACUGCAGCCCCGUCAGCCCAUACAAGCACUCAGGUUUAAAAAAGACUAUUCCCUCCAAGGACUCAGAGCUCUUUUUGUGUGCCAUCGUAUUGAGUAGGUUUUCCCAAUGUGUCCCCAUUAUAACGAUCAACAAGAAUAAUGCUCCAGGUUAGCAUAACCGAGGGGUCAUUUCUGGCAGCAUUGAUCGCUUGAUAGCAACCAGACCUUUAUUUAAACUGGUGUUGACAACCACAAAGAUUCCCCCUUUUGGGGAUUUGUAGCAACGCUUGGGUUUUGCGUGGAGCACAUUUUAACCAGAGGCAUUUACAAGAUUUUUCUAAACAACCUGCCAGGUGCAGAGGCCUCCCUAAAGAUCCAGCAACGUGGUGGAACGUUAUGAGGCCCAAUGAGAUUAGAAUGAGAAUUAAAUACGUUUGCCACGUUGAUGUUCCCUGAGCUCCCAUGACCAAUUUAGGACUAAUGAGCAUUCUAUGAGUGCUUUCCAAAAGCCCAAUGUUUUCAGCCAUCCAUUUUAAUGAGAGAACAGAACCAGGUUUUGAAUUGAAACGGUUAUUUGAGCUAAGAGGAGGGUACAAAGACAAUACCGAGGAAAAUGUUUCCCAUAUACAGUUACUACCAUGAUGCACCACGAGCAAAAGCAAAGCCUGUAAAACUGAUUGAUAAUUCUCAUAUACCAUUAGUCAAUAAGCAAAUAUGUUGUUGAAUGAUACUGUAGUUGAAAGACUUCUCUUUCAUAUUGUCUCAUUUGAGUGUUUAGUUCAGUGCUUUAAACAUUAUGUACCAUACUACAACCAAACAGAGUUGAAUUACAGGUCCCACCUUUUCUGGAUAGUCCCAUGUAGAUGGGCAUACUAUCAACAAACUGUCUGUUGAUAAUCAACUGCUUGCUAAGGUUACGGUUAAGGUUAAGAAUAAGGGUAAGGGUUAAGGUUAGGGUUAAUUUCAGAGGAUAAGGGUUAAGGUUAGGGCUAGGGUUAGUGGAUAGUUGUUGUUGACAGUUAUUGAACAGAUACUGAACAACUACAAACCAUCUACUUGGGAUUAUCCCAAAAAAGUGUUACCAAAGGAACAAAAUAAAUGGUUAGUUGGCACUUAUAGACACAUAGGUAUCCACUAUUUAAGGGCUCCCAGGUGGGGAAGCAGUCUAAGGCACUGCAUCUCAGUGCUAGAGGUGUCACUACAGACCCUGGUUCGAUUCCAGGCUGUAUCACAACUGGCCAUAAUUGGGAGUCCCAUACGGCGGCGCUGUCAUUGUAAAUAAUCAUUUGUUCUUAACUGACUUGCCUGGUUAAAUGCAAAUAUAUUGCGCAUUGAUAAAACUCUAUCCACAAAGGUGGGCACAUCUGUUCCAAAACAUCCCAGUCCUCUGGAGUAGGUCAAAGGUUACAGUAUAUGCAACAUUUUCAUCUUGGGCUAUAUCAUAUUCCUGACCAAGGUUGCUAGAAUAUAGCAUAGGUCUUAUUUCCAUUCCCCCUUGGAAGCAUAUAACAUUUAAUUGGUUGAUAAAUGUUGACAGACUCAAACAAAAGUUGGGAUUUCACCUCAUACUUAAAAUUAAUGUAGCCAUCAUGACAAGGUAAGAUGCCCAAUUUCCCAUCAUUGUAAUCAUGCAGCAGUCAAACAGACAAUAAAGUGAGGCUAUGGCAAUAUAUUGAUUAAGUGGUACAUAGUUAGUAGUUAACCUGUUAACUAAGCAAAACAUCAUUAUGAAUCUAUGACCUGACAAAGGAUGGACUAACUGACACUGGUGGGGGCUCAAUAGAAACCCGUCAUUAGCACAGAUUGGCUGCCAAGUAAAUUGGGGAACAGGUGCAUUCAGAGCAACACACACUGAAACGCUUUGUCCGUGGACUUGUGCCUCUCUCCGUUUGAAAACGGGGGGUUAUGUUUAAUGCAAAGUUAAUAUCGAUUUAAUGCUUGUCAGAGCUCCUCUGUAUUUUGGGCCAUUCCUAAUCCCUCCAAUGUUCCGCAGUGGCCGGAUCCUAGUCAGAAACAGCUGCUGAGCCAGACUUGAAGAGGGAGAGCACCACUCAAGAAGGCGGUUUAUAGAAGGUGUAAAGACCGUCCAUCUUCAAAGCAGCGUGUAAAAUAAAUAGACCACGUGUAAAAACAAAAUUAGAAAUGGAUGAUUUCCUUUUAAAUAUAUAACCAGUAAAAAGUUAUUUUUUUUAAACAGCAUAACUUUCAACGAUGCUGUGGUAGGCCUAUAGGCCAAUUUCUCUGAAUGUUGUCAUAGUCUGCAAUGAAAUUAUAAAAACACUUAUAAUUAUUGCUUUAAAGAAAAAUACAUAUAAUUUAUCUUAAUGCUAAUGAUGGGUCUAUUUACAGUAUCUGCUCACUAAAUACAGUUAAAUAUAUUGAAUAGAAAGUCAGGUAAAGAGUACAAUACAUUAGGCAAAAAAAACGAGGUUGCAAGAAGGCCAUACAUUAUUAAUCAACAUUUUCACAAAUGUACGUCAUUAACCUGAAUAUAUAACAAUGAAUUUAGGAAACGGUUAAAAUAUUUUGCGGCAGUCUUACUGUAAUCUAUCUUCAGUAUCAUUAUCAUUUCAAUGCACCCACCUCUUGUGUCUACGGACAAGCGUGGGGUGGUGAGGGUGGGGAUAUAAUAUUUGAAAAAUGUGUUUUAAAAGAGUUUAAUUCAGCGACCGACCAGCUGUUUCUCUAGACUAUAUUUGGUAAAGAGAAAACAAUCGUGUCAGGCUUGGAAAGCUAGUAGAAAUUAGUUUCGGUCACUGGGGCUAAGCUAUAUUUCCUGCAAACCAUCUGCUUGAUUUGUACAAUAGGGGGAUUUUCGAAGGUUCCUGAAAUAAUUAAACGCUUUGAACUUAACAGUGAUGUUUUUUUGUCUGUGAAGGUGGGUGCUGUGUUAAUGUGUCUUAAUAUGGGUUUCCCCGACGGGACAUAAAACGCAAAUCUAAUGAUCAAUACAUUUAUCUAAAAAUGUAACGAUUUCAUGGUUACGUAAUUACUUGUCUGUUUACUCAGACAUUACCUGUUUAAGCUAAGUGGCUUAUAUAUAUACAAAACAUGUCAUUUGUCAAAUGACCCUCUUCACUUAAGGAGUGUUUAUACGCAUAAUUUGUUUAAUUCAAGAAUGUUACAGUAAUUAGUCUCCUCAGCCUAUGAACAUUUUUAUUUAUUUCAUAUUUCAAUAUUUUGCCUAUAACAGGUAAAAGGCCUAAAUACUGACAGCAUCUGAAAAUUGCUAGACAAGGCACGAUGAAUAGAGGCUAUAGCAUUAAAACUUGAUAUAUAACCGUCACACACCAUGAACCUCACACCACAAACGUAGGCCUACAGUGUAGACUCUGAUCUGUCCUAAUAAAUACAUUGUUAUAUGGUCUGAAAAUAUUGAGUAGGAUUAAUUUGUGUUUAUGUGGAAGUUUUGCUAACGAUGUCUUUACUGCCAGGGCUCUUUUGCAUAACAUAUGGGAUUCACCUAUAAAUAUCCGAAAUAAACUCACUCGGCCAUGCAUGGGUAACAUGCAAGACUGGUGGAUCAGAUGGCUAAUUGGAGCCUACUCAUAUUAGAUCAUUUGUAAAAUAUAUACAAAAAAUAUGACAAUUAAUUUUUGCGUUAGUAAUGGACAUGGGUACCAUGCAUCUAUUUUCAUGGGAAGCGCCUGGCGCAUAAUUUCAUGGAGAUUUGCCUUCUGUGCCAUCACUUAGGACACACGCGGGUUUACCUUCCCCGCACUUUCAAAGCAGAAGUGUUGACUCUCCAGAAAGAAAUGUGAAGGUAACCACUUUAAAAUGAAUGGUUAGGAGAACAAAACAGAGAGAGCAGCGGUCAAACGCCAUUAGUCACAGGUCUUAGCCAACAGGCCUCAGGAUUCACCUCUCCUAGCCGAUCACAGAAAAGAACUUCGAAAUAGAAUCUUCCUCAAAGAAACUCUUUUGUUAACUUCCCCCCCCUGUUUUAUAAUCUAUUUCAUCAAUGGGCGGUUAUCAUUUUCCUCCUGCGGUUUGCAACCUAUCCUAAAAGUUUUCGCUUUGACAUAGGCCUGCCUACUAGGCUACAAUAAAAUGAACCCAUGUGUAGCGCUGCAUGGGUCUGACUUAGCCCUCGAAACAAUGCUUCUACGGUUUAAAUGGCAGAUACAGUGGAAAAAACGUAUGGAGCUUGUAAAAAAAAUAAAAAAAUCGGUAACACUAUUUUAAGGGUCCAUAAUAAACCAUUUAUAAGGCAUUAACAAACAGUUUGUUCGCCAUUUAUUAACCCUUACUACCACAUUUGUAAAUGUUAGUAAGCUAGUUAUUCACAUUGACAUAUGCCUAUGUAUAUAUAUUUAAAUGUGAUGUGAUGUGUGCUUAUCUUUUUAUCAGGUACUACUGAAAUGUCUACAAAUGGCAUGCCCAUAUUUUGUAGAGAAAUUUCACUGAUCCCUCAAAAUAUUUAUAAAGUAUUUAUCAAGUAUAAAUAGCGUUAACUUUGGAUUGGGGACUGCAAAAAAUACUUUACUAAUGAUGAAUAAAGGAUGUAUAAAUGUUGGAGUAAUGAUUCAUAAAUAGUCAACGCACACUUUAUAAAUGCAUUGUAAAUGGUUUGUUACCGAACCUUAAAAUAAAGCGUUAACAAAAGAUCAUGCCCUAAACUUUUAACU